UAAUGCCUACGGGGGGCAGCAGUGAGGAAUAUUGGUCAAUGGUCGGGAGACUGAACCAGCCAAGCCGCGUGAGGGAGGAAGGUACAGAGUAUCGUAAACCUCUUUUGUCAGGGAACAAAGACUGGGACGCGUCCCCGGAUGAGUGUACCUGAAGAAAAAGCAUCGGCUAACUCCGUGCCAGCAGCCGCGGUAAUACGGAGGAUGCGAGCGUUAUCCGGAUUUAUUGGGUUUAAAGGGUGCGCAGGCGGUCUGUUAAGUCAGCGGUCAAAGCCCGGGGCUCAACCCCGGCCCGCCGUUGAAACGGG
rnacentral:rRNA from 1 species